rnacentral:rRNA from 1 species
AGAGUUUGAUCCUGGCUCAGGAUGAACGCUGGCGGCGUGCUUAACACAUGCAAGUCGAACGAAGAUACUUAAAAUGAGAGCUUCGGCAGGAUUUUUAUUUAUCUUAGUGGCGGACGGGUGAGUAACGUGUGGGCAACCUGCCCUAUACUGGGGAAUAAUCACUGGAAACGGUGACUAAUACCGCAUGUCAUUACGGAAGGGCAUCCUUCUGUAAGAAAAGGAGUAAUUCGGUAUAGGAUGGGCCCGCAUCUGAUUAGCUAGUUGGUGAGAUAACAGCCCACCAAGGCGACGAUCAGUAGCCGACCUGAGAGGGUGAUCGGCCACAUUGGGACUGAGACACGGCCCAAACUCCUACGGGAGGCAGCAGUGGGGAAUAUUGCACAAUGGGGGAAACCCUGAUGCAGCAACGCCGCGUGAGUGAAGAAGUAUUUCGGUAUGUAAAGCUCUAUCAGCAGGAAAGAAAAUGACGGUACCUGACUAAGAAGCCCCGGCUAACUACGUGCCAGCAGCCGCGGUAAUACGUAGGGGGCAAGCGUUAUCCGGAAUUACUGGGUGUAAAGGGAGCGUAGGCGGCACGCCAAGCCAGAUGUGAAAGCCCGAGGCUUAACCUCGUGGAUUGCAUUUGGAACUGGCGAGCUAGAGUACAGGAGAGGAAAGCGGAAUUCCUAGUGUAGCGGUGAAAUGCGUAGAUAUUAGGAAGAACACCAGUGGCGAAGGCGGCUUUCUGGACUGAAACUGACGCUGAGGCUCGAAAGCGUGGGGAGCAAACAGGAUUAGAUACCCUGGUAGUCCACGCCGUAAACGAUGAGUGCUAGGUGUCGGGGAGGAAUCCUCGGUGCCGCAGCUAACGCAAUAAGCACUCCACCUGGGGAGUACGACCGCAAGGUUGAAACUCAAAGGAAUUGACGGGGGCCCGCACAAGCGGUGGAGCAUGUGGUUUA